UCAGUUGUCAGACACCAUAUCAAAAAUAUCCUCUAUUCAAACGUUAAAAGUCUCUGUUAGAAAAAGGCCUGAAAUAUAGAGCGAUAUGAUAUAUCAAACAUGCUCGUGUCGAUUUGUAUAGAAAGGAACAUUUGAUGCAAAUUAAUACUUCCUCGACAAUCCGUGUCCAGAAUGGUGAGAUGGAUGAUGAACACAUCGUCUGUGAUGUACGGUGCAUACCCACGGGACAUCAGUUUUGCCUGGCUUCAGUCCAGCAGCUAACACAGGGGUACACUUCUCAAAACAUUUUUCUAACCACCGUUUAAUGGUUACUGUAACCGAGGAAUUGAGGUAGGUGACAUUGUAUAGUCCUCACAAAGCCACUGAGGAUUUAUGUAAAAUUGCAGACUAAUGCUCUCCC